AUUAUUUUAGCAAAUUAGUGCAUUAAAUUUAGAAUUUGAAUAAUAUAUAAAUAAUAUAAAAUAAUA
rnacentral:tRNA from 1 species